ACUCAGAAGCAGCUGAACUCACUGCUGGGGUCCUCGGUUCCUCGAGUCCGAACCUACACAGGUGGACUCAAAUGAGGGACCAAACAACUAGAACAUAACUCUAAAAACAUCCCCCAAAAACCCCCUAAAACACCUCAAACAAUCAUGCAAAAACAUGCAAAGGAAGGCAGAACAGGGCAGGUUCGGCGGCACCUUCGGCGGCCGAAAGUCCCUCCAGAGCCGAAACCCAGGCAGGUUCGGCGGCACCUUCGGCCGCCGAAAGUCCCAGACAGAGACGAAAGUCUCUUUUCGGGGGCAACUUCGGCAGCCGAAAGGCCUGCCUCCCCAGCCAUGUUCGGCGGCCGAAAGUUCCUUCGGCUGCCGAACCUGGUUUCUGCCAAAGGGCAGAAACUUGGCUCCUUUAUGCACAUUUGCCUCCCAA
rnacentral:lncRNA from 1 species